rnacentral:rRNA from 1 species
AGCGAACGCUGGCGGCAGGCCUAACACAUGCAAGUCGAACGAAGUCUUCGGACUUAGUGGCGGACGGGUGAGUAACACGUGGGAACGUACCUUUUGGUUCGGAACAACCCAGGGAAACUUGAGCUAAUACCGGAUGAGCCCUUAAGGGGAAAGAUUUAUCGCCGAAAGAGCGGCCCGCGUUAGAUUAGCUAGUUGGUGAGGUAAAGGCUCACCAAGGCUACGAUCUAUAGCUGGUCUGAGAGGAUGAUCAGCCACACUGGGACUGAGACACGGCCCAGAUUCCUACGGGAGGCAGCAGUGGGAAAUAUUGCGCAAUGGCGAGAGCUUGACGCAGCCAUGCCGCGUGAAUGAUGAAGGUCUUAGGAUUGUAAAAUUCUUUUACCAGGGACGAUAAUGACGGUACCUGGAGAAAAAGCCCCGGCUAACUUCGUGCCAGCCGCCGCGGUAAUAC